rnacentral:rRNA from 1 species
GCUUGCUUGGUGGAUCAGUGGCGAACGGGUGAGUAACACGUGAGCAACCUGCCCUGGACUCUGGGAUAAGCGCUGGAAACGGCGUCUAAUACUGGAUAUGAGCCUCUUCCGCAUGGUGGGGGUUGGAAAGAUUUUUUGGUCUGGGAUGGGCUCGCGGCCUAUCAGCUUGUUGGUGAGGUAAUGGCUCACCAAGGCGUCGACGGGUAGCCGGCCUGAGAGGGUGACCGGCCACACUGGGACUGAGACACGGCCCAGACUCCUACGGGAGGCAGCAGUGGGGAAUAUUGCACAAUGGGCGAAAGCCUGAUGCAGCAACGCCGCGUGAGGGAUGACGGCCUUCGGGUUGUAAACCUCUUUUAGCAGGGAAGAAGCGAAAGUGACGGUACCUGCAGAAAAAGCGCCGGCUAACU